rnacentral:rRNA from 1 species
GACGAACGCUGGCGGCGUGCUUAACACAUGCAAGUCGAACGAUGAAGCCCAGCUUGCUGGGUGGAAGAGUGGCGAACGGGUGAGUAACACGUGAGUAACCUGCCUAUCACUCUGGGAUAAGCGCUGGAAACGGCGUCUAAUACUGGAUAUGUCCCAUCACCGCAUGGUGUGUGGGUGGAAAGAUUUAUCGGUGGUAGAUGGACUCGCGGCCUAUCAGCUUGUUGGUGAGGUAAUGGCUCACCAAGGCGACGACGGGUAGCCGGCUUGAGAGGGUGACCGGCCACACUGGGACUGAAACACGGCCCAGACUCCUACGGGAGGCAGCAGUGGGGAAUAUUGCACAAUGGGCGCAAGCCUGAUGCAGCAACGCCGCGUGAGGGAUGACGGCCUUCGGGUUGUAAACCUCUUUUAGUAGGGAAGAAGCGAAAGUGACGGUACCUGCAGAAAAAGCACCGGCUAACUACGUGCCAGCCGCCGCAGUAAGAC